AUGAUCUCUGUUGAUAGGGCCCUUCUUGACUUAGGGCGCCUUGCUUUCCGUCGGCCCUUUGGGCCGGCGGAAUCCGCCGCCUGGCGUGAGUUUCUCGACUGCGUUGCUCUGCAUGAGCCGUUGGUGGAUGGGGAUCAGGACCUUGUGCGCUGGCGCUUGGAACCAUCGGGCCAGUUCUCAACCAAGUCACUCUACUUGGCCAUUGCCCCCUCCUCCGCCCCCCUUCCCCUAUCGAUGGUGUGGUCCGUCCGCGUCCCCCUCAAGAUUCGCAUCUUCAUGUGGCAGUGGAUUCGUGGACGGGUCCCGUCUGGUGUGGAGGUUUGCACGCGCAAUGGCCCGGGCACUGGUAUCUGCCCCCUCUGUGAUGUCCCGGAAGACUCCAACCACAUCUUCUUCGCUUGCGUCUCCGCCCAGUUUCUCUGGAGCUGCUUUCGCGAGAUUGUAGGUGGAAGUUGGUGCCACACCAAUUUCCCGGACUUAUUUGCUGAACUCCAGCUGUCCCCCACGUCCUCUCGCCACAUUAGGUGGCUGGAGGUUGGGGUUCUUGCCUGGACUCUUUGGACCGUUCACAAUAAGCUUGUGAUCCAGCGUACUCCUCUUCGUCGCGCUACUGACGCUCUCUACAGACUCUCGGGUUUCUUGCAGCUUUGGCGGCCGCUUAGCCGCCCCCCGGAUCGGGACGCCAUCUCAGCCUUCAUCGCCGACCUCUGCUCGAUGGCCGUCCGCCUAUCGCCGCCGCCCCCGCCGCCUCCGCCGGAGCCUGACUAG
rnacentral:rRNA from 1 species